rnacentral:rRNA from 1 species
UACAGAGGCCCCGAGCGUUAGUCGGAAUUACUGGGCUUAAAGGGUGCGUAGGCGGAUUUCUAAGUGUCGCGUGAAAUCCCCGGGCUUAACCUGGGAACUGCAUUGGUGACUGCAAGGCUUGAGUGUGUCAGAGGGAGGUGGAAUUCCGCGUGUAGCAGUGAAAUGCGUAGAUAUGCGGAGGAACACCGAUGGCGAAGGCAGCCUCCUGGGAUAACACUGACGCUCAUGCACGAAAGCGUGGGGAGCAAACAGG